CGCAGAGUAGAGCAGUCUGGUAGCUCGUGGGGCUCAUAACCCCAAGGUCGCAGGUUCAAAUCCCGCCUCUGCAA
rnacentral:tRNA from 1 species